rnacentral:rRNA from 1 species
ACGGCAGUGGGGGUAACCCCAUGAGAGUGGCGAACGGGUGAGUAACACGUAGGUGAUCUGCCUUGAGGAUGGGGAUAGCUUGUGGAAACACAGGGUAAUACCGAAUAAGCUGACGGGACUUUGGUUCUGUUAGUAAAGGUGCUACGGCACCGCCUUGAGAGGAGCCUGCGGCUGAUUAGCUAGUUGGUGGGGUAAAGGCCUACCAAGGCGACGAUCAGUAGCCGGCCUGAGAGGGUGUACGGCCACACUGGAACUGAGACACGGUCCAGACUCCUACGGGAGGCAGCAGCUAAGAAUCUUCCGCAAUGGGCGAAAGCCUGACGGAGCGAUGCCGCGUGAUCGAUGAAGGUCGAGAGAUUGUAAAGAUCUUUUACAGCUGAGGAAUAAGCCUAGGAGGGAAUGCCUGGGUGAUGACGUUAAGCUGUGAAUAAGCCCCGGCUAAUUACGUGCCAGCAGCCGCGGUAAU